rnacentral:tRNA from 1 species
AGCUGGUUAGCUCAGUCUGUUGAGCAUGGUGCUGAUAACACCAAGGCUGUGGGUUCGAUCCCCGUUCAGCCC